rnacentral:rRNA from 1 species
AACGAACGCUGGCGGCAGGCUUAACGCAUGCAAGUCGAACGCCCCGCAAGGGGAGUGGCAGACGGGUGAGUAACGCGUGGGAAUCUACCCAUCCCUACGGAAUAACGCAUGGAAACGUGUGCUAAUACCGUAUACGCCCUACGGGGGAAAGAUUUAUCGGGGAUGGAUGAGCCCGCGUUGGAUUAGCUAGUUGGUGGGGUAAAGGCCUACCAAGGCGACGAUCCAUAGCUGGUCUGAGAGGAUGAUCAGCCACAUUGGGACUGAGACACGGCCCAAACUCCUACGGGAGGCAGCAGUGGGGAAUAUUGGACAAUGGGCGCAAGCCUGAUCCAGCCAUGCCGCGUGAGUGAUGAAGGCCUUAGGGUUGUAAAGCUCUUUCACCGGAGAAGAUAAUGACGGUAUCCGGAGAAGAAGCCCCGGCUAACUUCGUG